rnacentral:tRNA from 1 species
AGGGUAAUAGUUAAAUCUUAACACUUAAUUUGCAAUUAAACAAUACUGAUAAAUCAUCAGUUUACCUUA